GAGGAGUUUUAUAUAGGUAGCACAAAGAGAGGGCUGGUGAAGAGAUUAAAUGAGCACAAGGAGGUUGUCAGAACAGGUAGACUGAUGACCACCCUUGCUACUACAGUAUACGAGAAAGACAUUGAUAUUAAGUGGACGGAAGCUAAAAUAAUAAAACCGAUACAAGAUCAUAGUUUGAUGACACUAAUGGAAGCGAUGGAAAUAGAGAGAAAAAAGCAUACUAGAAACAUCAUUAACAGCAAUCUACCAGCCCUGUUACAGACAUCGUGGAAAUGGUGUACUAAGUACAUGAUAUGAAAUGAAGAAAGACGUUGUAGACUAUAACUGGACAUUAUGGACUCGUGGAUUUAAUGGGGACUACCAUGUUAUGUGGACUAUGGACUAUAGUAUAUUAAUAUCUUAUGGCUUAAUGUAGGAUAUUGUAGCAUCUUGGAUUUUAAUGUCUUCAAUAUAUGUUUAUAUAUUGUGUUUUACGG
rnacentral:lncRNA from 1 species